UACGUAGGGGGCAAGCGUUGUCCGGAUUUAUUGGGCGUAAAGAGCUCGUAGGCGGUUCGGCAAGUCAGAUGUAAAAACUCCAGGCUCAACUUGGAGAGGCCAUCUGAUACUGCCGUGACUAGAGUCCGGUAGGGGAGCACGGAAUUCCUGGUGUAGCGGUGAAAUGCGCAGAUAUCAGGAGGAACACCAGCGGCGAAGGCGGUGCUCUGGGCCGGAACUGACGCUGAGGAGCGAAAGCGUGGGGAGCGAACAGG
rnacentral:rRNA from 1 species